rnacentral:piRNA from 1 species
GGUAGAUGCUAAGAUACGGAGGCAGC